rnacentral:lncRNA from 1 species
UCAAACCUGGUAUUACUAUUGGUGGGAAAGGGGGAAACAAAGAUGGUGGUGGGCUUGGAGGAGGCUGGAAUGGGUUAGGGAUAAGUGGUGGUGGGCUUGGAGGGGGCUGGAAAGGAUUAGGAAAGAGAGUUGGUGGGCUUGGAGGGGGCUGGAAUGGGUUAGGGAUGAGUGGUGGUGGGCUUGGUGGUUGGAAUGGGUUUGGAAUGAGUGGUGGGCUUGGUGGUUGCAGUGGAUUUGGAAUCAGAGGAGGUGGCUGAAAGGGAUUUGGAAUUAGGGGAGGAGGCUGAAAUGGGUUGGGGACCAAUGGUGGUGGGAAAAAUGGGUUUGGUGGAAAAAAGAAAUCUUCAGCUAAAUUUUUGUUAGCUGAUUUAGAUUUGU